UCCUUGUUUCUUUGGUUUUCUGUUUUUUUGUCAUAAAAUAAUAUUGGUAGCCAAAGAUGCUUCUUCAAAUUCAAGAUUCUCUCACGGCUGAGAUAAUCACAGUUAUUCACUUUAUUUAAAGUGGAAUAAUGUAGAUCACACAAGAAAGGCAGCAGAAAGAAGAGGCUUGAAAUCAAAGCAAGGCAUCUUCCCCUAUCAGAUCUACCUUCACUGUACACAACCACAAUUUCAGCAUCAGAAUUCAAGUUUCUUACUUUCGGUACCAUUAAAUUGGAUUCUGGUUACCCCGAUAUCUUUAAUGUUACACCUUUCGUAUAAAAGCUAUUUGAUAAGUGUAAACAAAUUUGUAAUAAAAGCUAUUUGAAGGGUGUUAAUGGAUCCUUUAACCA